UACAGAGGUCUCAAGCGUUGUUCGGAAUCACUGGGCGUAAAGGGUGCGUAGGCCGCACGGCAAGUCAGAGGUGAAAUCCCGGAGCUCAACUUCGGAAUUGCCUCCGAUACUCCCGUGCUUGAGGACUGGAGAGGAGUCUGGAAUUCACAGUGGAGCAGUGAAAUGCGUAGAUAUUGUGAGGAACACUAGUGGCGAAGGCGGCUCGCUGGACCUCUUCUGACGCUGAGGCGCGAAAGCCAGGGGAGCAAACGGG
rnacentral:rRNA from 1 species